rfam:Anaerostipes sp. CAG:276 genomic scaffold, scf93
GGGAUCAUAGCUCAGCUGGGAGAGCAUCUGCCUUACAAGCAGAGGGUCAUAGGUUCGAGCCCUAUUGGUCCCA